rnacentral:rRNA from 1 species
GUACACGCUGUGACUAGCAUAUCAAUAAGCGGAGGAAAAGAAACUAACAAGGAUUCCCUAGUAACGGCGAGUGAAGCGGGAAGAGCUCAAAUUUGAAAUCUUAAAGGGUUUCCCUUUACGAAUUGUAGUUUAAAGAAGUGUUUCCUGUUGAGGUUUUGGUAAAAGUUCUUUGGAAUAGGACAUCAUAGAGGGUGAGAAUCCCGUAUUUGACCUUUACUUUCAACUUUGUGAUACACUUUCAAAGAGUCGGAUUGUUUGGGAAUGCAGUCCAAAAUGGGUGGUAAAUUUCAUCUAAAGCUAAAUAUUGGCGAGAGAGCCGAUAGCGAACAAGUACCGUGAGGGAAAGAUGAAAAGAACUUUGAAAAGAGAGUUAAACAGUACGUGAAAUUGUCAAAAGGGAAGCGUUUGACACCAGUGUUGUUUUUCUGAAAAUCAAUUAAAGAACUGUUUAUGCUAAGUUGUUUAGACUUUAUCAGCUAACUGUUUAGUUUUGAGCUUUUCUUUAAUGCACUUUUCAGUUAACAAGUCAACAUCAAUUUCUUUUGCUGUAAAAAAGCUUGAGGAAGGUGGCUUGAGAUUCGUCUUAAGUGUUUAUAGCCUCUUGCCUAUGCAGUCGGAGAGAUUGAGGUCUGCAGCGUAGAUCCUUCGGGGCUAAAUGCAUUUGUGCUAAGUUAUAGCAUUUCAUAGACAACUUGUUGACUAUGAUUUGUCUUGUAGCUUACUCGCUUAUGUUAUUUUACCUACGCUUAGGAUGUUGACGAGACUGUCGAUCU